UGGACUGUGUAGUCCAUGAGGUCACAAAGAGUCAGACACGACUAAGUGACUUUCACUUCACUUCACUUCAGGCCUUUACUGAUGGGUGUCUGUAUCUUAUGGCCCAUGUGUAACCUCAUCUGAUCCCCAUGAAAUCCUCUAAGGAGGAGGAGUAAACUGAGUGGGUCACCCCGUUUCACCAACCGGGAAAGUGAGAGUGGAACCCAAAUCCAGUGAGACUUUGUAUACAAAGAAAAGGACACAAGGAGACACGGAACAGACCGGUGAAGACAGAGGCAGAGACGGUUGUGAUGAUGAGCAAACACCAGGAGCACUGGAAGCUGGAAGAGUUUCUCCCUAGAGCUUCAGGCAGGAGCUGUGGCCCCAACACCCCCAGAACUGGGAGAGAAUGAGUAUCUGCUCCUCUAAGCUUCCUGGUCACUUGUUACUACAGCUACAGGAAAUUGAUAUGCCAUCACACACAUUUUUUCCUUCUUUUUAUUAUCAACCUAUUUGCAUCUGUAUUUAAAGUUUUCUUAUAAACAGCAAAAGAGUCAGUCUUUUUUUAUCCUGAAA